UGGGGAAUAUUGGACAAUGGGCGAAAGCCUGAUCCAGCAAUGCCGCGUGAGUGAUGAAGGCCCUAGGGUUGUAAAGCUCUUUUACCCGGGAUGAUAAUGACAGUACCGGGAGAAUAAGCUCCGGCUAACUCCGUGCCAGCAGCCGCGGUAAUACGGAGGGAGCUAGCGUUGUUCGGAAUUACUGGGCGUAAAGCGCGCGUAGGCGGUUUUUUAAGUCAGAGGUGAAAGCCCGGGGCUCAACCCCGGAAUUGCCUUUGAAACUGGAAAACUUGAAUCUUGGAGAGGUCGGUGGAAUUCCGAGUGUAGAGGUGAAAUUCGUAGAUAUUCGGAAGAACACCAGUGGCGAAGGCGACUGACUGGACAAGUAUUGACGCUGAGGUGCGAAAGCGUGGGGAGCAAACA
rnacentral:rRNA from 1 species